UGGGGAAUAUUGGACAAUGGGCGAAAGCCUGAUCCAGCCAUGCCGCGUGUGUGAAGAAGGCCUUUUGGUUGUAAAGCACUUUAAGCGAGGAGGAGGUUACCUGGAUUAAUACUCCAGGCUAGUGGACGUUACUCGCAGAAUAAGCACCGGCUAACUCGGUGCCAGCAGCCGCGGUAAUACUGAGGGUGCGAGCGUUAAUCGGAUUUACUGGGCGUAAAGCGUGCGUAGGCGGCUUCUUAAGUCGGAUGUGAAAUCCCUGAGCUUAACUUAGGAAUUGCAUUCGAUACUGGGAAGCUAGAGUAUGGGAGAGGAUGGUAGAAUUCCAGGUGUAGCGGUGAAAUGCGUAGAGAUCUGAAGGAAUACAGAUGGCGAAGGCAGCCAUCUGGCCUAAUACUGACGCUGAGGUACGAAAGCAUGGGGAGCAAACAGG
rnacentral:rRNA from 1 species